rnacentral:ncRNA from 2 species
GAACGUUCUCAGGGCGGGGCGAAAUUCCCCACCGGCGGUAAUCAUGCUCCGCGCAUGUAGCCCGCGAACAGCUCGCCUCGGGUGCGCCCGACGCGAUGCCUGCCGACCCGGUGCGAUUCCGGGGCCGACGGUCAUAGUCCGGAUGAGAGAGAGCGGGG